rnacentral:rRNA from 1 species
CAGCCGCCGCGGUAAUACGAAGGGGGCUAGCGUUGCUCGGAAUGACUGGGCGUAAAGGGCGCGUAGGCGGAUUGUUUAGUUAGACGUGGAAUUCCUGGGCUUAACCUGGGGACUGCGCUUAAUACAGGCAGUCUAGAGUGAGGAAGAGGGUUGUGGAAUUCCCAGUGUAGAGGUGAAAUUCGUAGAUAUUGGGAAGAACACCGGUGGCGAAGGCGGCAACCUGGUCCUUGACUGACGCUGAGGCGCGAAAGCGUGGGGAGCAAACAGGAUUAGAUACCCGGGUAGUCCCUGUCUCUUAUAU